UUUAUCUUUGUUUCCCGAAACAAGUUUGAAUAGAAGACGAACUUUUCAUCGUUUUAUUUGCCCACAUCUUCUUCCUUCUCCCUUUGUAAUUAUCGCUUAACCACCGCCGAAAGCAAGGGAAGAAAUCUUGUCUCAAAUCUGUGGUCAAGUCUCCAUAUUUUGGCUAGAGAUUGGACUGUGCACAGCAUCACCCUCCACUUUGGCUAGUGAUUUCACUCCCUCUUUUAAGAAAUGGAUGCAUUUAAUCAUGGUAUAUAAACUGUAUUCCAGUUUGGUAUUUAGCUCAAGGAGCAGGUUUUUGGAUAAGUUGCAGCAUCGCUGCCUUUGACUUCUGUGAACUGUUCGUGGUUUUAGAAAGUGUUAUUUACAUAAGAAUUCAUUUGUGAUUUGCUGUCACGAAGAACUAGACUCUACUUUAGGAACGUCGGGCCUAAGUGGCACCCCACCACCUCGGUGGCAACCCGGAAGAUCGUUGCGGUAACGGUGGCUGGUAACCAGAACUACCCUGACGGUGGCACUGGCCAUGAAUAGUAGAGUAAAUUUAUUUAUGGUUCUUGUUUAAACGGCAUUUGCGUAAGUAUUCCUUUCUCUACUUAAUCAUUGUUGUUGCUCCUUGCUUACGGAUUUAUAUUUCAUGCUCAACUUGUUUAGUUUAAUUUACCUUUUGAUUGCUUUACAAUCGGCACAUUAUUUUGUAACCCCUACUGAGCAUUCGCUCACCCCGUUUUGUUUUUCCUCCCCCACAGAGUACGGAGAGAAGUUGCGGUAGUAAUCCGGGCAGGCUUUAUCGCUUGGAAAGUUAGUAUUAUCUAAGCUUAUGAUAUUGUAUGUCACGGGGGGUAUCUGGGUAGUUUCAGUUUGCUUGAUUUGAGCCCAUGUCAUUUCUCUUGCACUUUGAUGUUAUAUAUAUGUUGGCUUCUACCGGAUCUUUAUAUGUUUUAAACUGAAAACUUGUCAGUUUCGUGUAUAAUGGGUCUGGUCUCGGGCUAUACAGACUAGUUUCUGAAUUCAUUUUUGUUGCCUAGAUGUUCUUGGCUUUUGGCUGUACGGACAACAUUCUCUACCGUUGUUCUUUUUGGCAUUUGUUUAAUCUAAGAUAGGAUCUGUACAGUGAAUUUCUAAGUGUAAUUAAUAGCUACUUAUAUUCAUUUUCCUGUGAAA